rnacentral:misc_RNA from 1 species
CCGAGUUUACAACUCCCAAACCCCUGUGAACAUACCUAUCGUUGCUUCGGCGGAUCGCCCCGGCGCCCUCGGGCCCGGAUCAGGCGCCCGCCGGAGACCCCAAACUCUUGUAUUUCUUUAGUAUCUUCUGAGUAAACAAGCAAAUAAAUUA